rnacentral:rRNA from 1 species
AUACGUAGGUGGCAAGCGUUGUCCGGAAUUAUUGGGCGUAAAGCGCGCGCAGGCGGCCUUUUAAGUCCAUCUUAAAAGCGUGGGGCUCAACCCCAUGAUGGGAUGGAAACUGAGAGGCUGGAGUAUCGGAGAGGAAAGCGGAAUUCCUAGUGUAGCGGUGAAAUGCGUAGAGAUUAGGAAGAACACCAGUGGCGAAGGCGGCUUUCUGGACGACAACUGACGCUGAGGCGCGAAAGCGUGGGGAGCAAACAGGAUUAGAUACCCUGGUAGUCCACGCCGUAAACGAUGGAUACUAGGUGUAGGAGGUAUCGACCCCUUCUGUGCCGGAGCUAACACAAUAAGUAUCCCGCCUGGGAAGUACGGCCGCAAGGCUAAA